AAUCUCAACAAAGAUAUACCUAAUUCAUACAUAGUUAUACUUUUUUAGUUUCAGAAUUUUGAAAGUUACAAAAUCGGCAAAGUUCUACUAUAAUCUGCUAAUUGUGUAAAGUUUAAAGUUCAUACCGCUCUAUCGUCGUUAGAGAUUAGAUUUGUUGCUUCAGAAUCCACUUCAGCAGCCGACGCUACUACUACUUCGUCAUUGAUUGUCUGUGAAACUACCUCCGCCGCCAACGGCACACCUGCGUUCUUUGUUCGAGCCAUUUCUCCAAACCUACAAACAAAAUCAUUUGGAUUAGUACUACUCUUCAAUCAAUUUCGAUCACAAAACCCAAUCUGAAAUAACUCGGAUCCGAUUUUAACUUACCCAAUUUCUUAGUUUUCUACAGAUAUACCAAGAUCGACGAACAGAUCUGUCGUUGUCGUUGACGAGAAUUGAGAAUUGUUUUACUGGAUUUAGAUUUACAGUGAAGAAAUAAGAAAAAAAAACAGAAAAGAAAGAGAAGAAAGAGAUCGUGAAUCGAUUUUACCGCAGAGAAUUUGGAAAACCUAGUGUUUUACUAGGGUUUUAUUGGAUAUGACCCAAAUACAAUGAGCUUGGAUAAUUUUGGAAUCCAUUUAUAUUGGUUGGGUCGUAAAUAAUCAAUAUUUUUAAGGUUUUCUAUGUCAUUUACUUCUUUUACGGAUAAAAGAAAAUCAUUUUUU
rnacentral:sRNA from 1 species